UACGAAGGGGGGCUAGCGUUGCUCGGAAUCACUGGGCGUAAAGCGCACGUAGGCGGCUUUUUAAGUCAGGGGUGAAAUCCUGGAGCUCAACUCCAGAACUGCCUUUGAUACUGAGAAGCUUGAGUCCGGGAGAGGUGAGUGGAACUGCGAGUGUAGAGGUGAAAUUCGUAGAUAUUCGGAAGAACACCAGUGGCGAAGGCGGCUCACUGGUCCGGUACUGACGCUGAGGUGCGAAAGCGUGGGGAGCAAACAGG
rnacentral:rRNA from 1 species